GCGACAGAAGUUGUCCGUGUCCAUAUAUUUUCGUGUGCAGUUUAUUGUCGGUCGGUCGCGGCUUGUAUCACAAUAUCAGUCUUGGUGCUGCAUGGAAGACUAAUGCUGCUACGUCUGCAAUAAAAGACAACAGUAUUUUAAUAUUGUAUCAGUGAAGAAAUGUAAAAAUAUCAAAGUAAAUCCCGAAAAUUUUUCUAAAGAACUGGUCGUACAAGGGUCGUAUUCCACCACCAGCCUGCGUAUUUUUCGAAGACAUCAUGCGUUACAAUUGGAAGAGUGAAACAGUUAAUCCGACGUUUUGAAGGGGGUCAAAAUCAUGUUCAAAGAUUCCGUUACAAACAUACACACGUCUGAAGCUAAUAAAAGCGUAUUAAAAAUACAGCUUUGGUUGAGUUUCGGGGAAGAAGGGUGAAGAUCUCAAAAAACUACUCAUUACCGGCAAAGAAGAAGGAAUGAGGCUAGGGGGCCAUGCACUGGUACGAUCAAAUUACGACGACAUUUGACUCCAGCAUCAGUGUAGCUAUCCACUGCGCAGACAGGAAAGAUUUGACGAAAAUAGUCCUAGCAAAAGUGCUCCGUAAAGGUCACAACGCUGAGCGCUAAGGAACACGAUGCAUCGUGGAAAUUAUUGAGAUUUUAUUCUAGUAUUGCGAAGAAAGAUAAUAAAAGAAGGAACCGCAUAUUUUCAUUUUCAAAAUCGAAAGUCAAUAAUAAUAAUAAACAAUUAAAUUUUUGGUAUUGCACCAACGAAAUUCUUCGGGGUCAACGGCCAGUACGAGAGUCUUGCUUUAGAUUACGGUUUCAUAAAACUGCUAUUAUAUCUGUUUUGCUUAUGAUUGAUUACCAUACAGUGUGACGACUACGAAUGCAACAUCUUCUAUCAUGGGUGUUGGAAACUUGGGUUUCUUGAAUAAAACUUCCAAAUCGAUCUUAAA